rnacentral:sRNA from 1 species
CAAUAGGGGGAUCAAGUUUUACAUAGGAAUAUAUAGAGAAAAUCUUUAAAAAUCUUCUUCUCAAAAACUAUCAGGCCAGAAAAGCUCAAAUUAAAUUGGAAGCAUGCUCAGGAAAUGUAGAUUUAAGUUUGUUGAAAUCAUGGUCCCCGGGGGUAUGAUGGGGCCACAAUUGGGGGAUCAAGUUUUACAUAGGAAUAUAUAGAGAAAAUAUUUAAAAAUCUUCUUCUCAAAAACUAUUAGGCCAGAAAAGCUCAAAUUAAAUUGGAAGCAUGCUCAGGAAAUGUAGAUUUAAGUUUGUUGAAAUCAUGGUCCCCGGGGGUAUGAUGGGGCCACAAUUGGGGGAUCAAGUUUUACAUAGGAAUAUAUAGAGAAGAUAUUUAAAAAUCUUCUUCUCAAAAACUACUAGGCCAGGAAAGCUCAACUUUGAGUGGAAGAAUCCGCAGGUAGUGUAGAUUCAAGUUUGUUUAAAUCAUGGUCCCCGGGGGUAGGGUAGGGCCACAAUAGGGGGAUCAUGUUUUAAAUAGGAAUAUAUAGAGAAAAUCUUUAAAAAUCCUCUUCUCAAAAACUCUUUGGCCAGAUAAGCUCAAAUUAAAAUGGAAGCAUCCUCAGGUAGUGUAGAUUUAAGUCUGUUCAAAUCAUGAUCCCCGGGGGUAGGGUGGGGCCACAAUUGGGGGAUCAGGUUUUACAUAGGAAUAUAUAUAGAGAAAAUCUUUAAAAAUCUUAUUCUCAAAAUCUAUUAGGCCAGAUAAGCUCAAAUUAAAAUGGAAGCAUCCUCAGGUAGUGUAGAUUUACGUUUCUUCAAAUCAUAGUCCCCAGGAGUAGGGUGGGGCCACAAUUGGGGGAUCAAUUUUUACAUAAGAGUAUAUAGAGAAAAUCUUUUAAAAAAUUUCUUUUAAUACUACUAGUAUUUGGCCAAGAAAUCUCAAAUUGGCAUGUAACCAUCCUCAGAUAAUGUAGAUUCAAGUUUGUUCAAAUCAUGGUCCCUGGGGGUAGGGCGGGGCCACAAUGGGGGAUACCUUUUUAUAUAGAGAGAAAAUCUUUAAAAGUCUUCUUCUCAAAAGUAUUAGGCCAGGAAAGCCCAAAUUUGAGUGGAGGCAUCCCUAGAUCAUAUAGAUUCAAGUUUGUUUAAAUAAUAGUCCAGGGGUAGGGUGAGGCCACAAUGGGGGAUGAAAUUUUACUUAGUAAUAUAUAGAGAAAUUCUUUCAAAAUCUUCUUUUUAAAGACUAUUUGGCCAGAAAAGCUUAAACUUGUGUAGAGGCAUCCUCGGGUAGUGUAAAUUCAAGUUUGGAAAAUCACUAGUGGUAGGGCGGGACCGUGAUGGCGGUUUGAAUUUUUACAUAGGAAUAUAUAGAGAAAAUCUUUAAAAAUAUUCUGGGAAAGUUUUUGGUCCAAAACUCAGUACUUAGUGUGAAAGCACAGGUUAUGAGAUUAAAGGUAGAUUUAAGUUUGAUUAAACCAUGAUUCCCUAGAGAAUAGUGGGGCCACGAAGGGGGGGGGGGUAUAUAGGAAUAGAAAAAAAUAUUAGAGGUACAACAACAAAAGGGGCUUGGUAUUUACCAAAAAAUAAGAGGUGGAUAAAAAUUGGCAGAUUUUCAAUUUUUUUUAGCAAGAUCUACUGUACUCAGUUGUCAAGAUAUUUUGAUACUGUAAUGCUAAUUUGAUCAGAAUUAAGGCAAUUGUUGCUCAGGUGAGCAAUGUGGCCCCUGGGCCUCUUGUUUGGUGAAAAUGACAAUUUUUUCUCUUUGCAAAGGAAACAUGUCGAAUAAUUAUUUAGCAAUAGAACUAUUCGAGCAAUUUGUUUGGUAUCGGAUGGUUGAGAAAGCCCAUAAAGGUCAUGAUAUGUUCAAGGUUGUGGUGUUUUUCCAGAAUUUAACCUUCUUUGAUAUAUCUAAAAAAAAAAUACGCAAUGUUAUAAAAUACCAACCAAUGAAAUUCUCUUUUUUUUUGUAAUGCUUAACCCUUUGAAAUCGUAUAAAAUUUUGAAGAUUGAUAUUGAAAUGGUAGUGUUUUUUAAAAUGAUGGCAUUCAGUUGACCAAAAUGUCGAAAUACUUCAUAUUUCUUUUACUUUCUUUUGAGAAUAAAUGGAGGCAUGUUUAAAUGUUUGAGUGAAAACUUGUGAGCAAGCCGGUGUCAAACACUUUGGCGACGUAACUGCUAUUUUAAUUCUGCCAACUUUAUUUUUAGUCUGAAACCGUGCCGAAAAUGUAAACUUAAAAGUUCUUUAAAAAGAAUAACAAAUAUGUUGCUUCAUGUAUUUUGAAUUUGAUAAUAGUUGGAAUUUAUUCCAAAAAUGCAUUUCUUUAUACAAAAUAAAUGUUUUAACCU